GAGUUCUGGCCGGGUCCAGUGGCUCACGCCUGUAAUCCCAGCACUUUGGGAGGCCGAGGCAGGCAGAUCACCUGAGGUCAGGAGUUUGAGACCAGCCUGGCCAAUGUGGUGAAACCGCCUCUCUACUAGAAAUAC